rnacentral:rRNA from 1 species
GACGUAGGGCGCGAGCGUUGUCCGGAUUUAUUGGGCGUAAAGAGCUCGUAGGCGGCUUGUCGCGUCGACUGUGAAAUCCCGCGGCUCAACUGCGGGUCUGCAGUCGAUACGGGCAGGCUAGAGUUCGGUAGGGGAGACUGGAAUUCCUGGUGUAGCGGUGAAAUGCGCAGAUAUCAGGAGGAACACCGGUGGCGAAGGCGGGUCUCUGGGCCGAUACUGACGCUGAGGAGCGAAAAGCGUGGGGGAGCGAACAGG